rnacentral:rRNA from 1 species
AGAGUUUGAUCCUGGCUCAGGGUUAACGCUAGCGGUGCGCCUAACACAUGCAAGUCGAGCGGUAUUGAGAUAUAGCUUGCUAUAUUGAGAGAGAGCGGCGAACGGGUGAGUAACACGUCGGUACAUGCCCCCAAGUCAGGGAUAGCCAGAAGAAAUUCUGAUUAAUACCGGAUAGUCUCUUUGGAGUAAAAAUUUAUUGCUUGGGGAGUGGCCUGCGUUCUAUCAGCUAGUUGGUGAGGUAAUAGCUCACCAAGGCUAAGACGGAUACUUGGUCUGAGAGGAUGAUCAGGCACAAUGGAACUGAGACACGGUCCAUACUCCUACGGGAGGCAGCAGUGAGGAAUCUUCCACAAUGGACGAAAGUCUGAUGGAGCGACACCGCGUGAAGGAUGAAGGCCUAACGGUUGUAAACUUCUUUUCUGAAGGAGCAUAAUGAGAGUACUUCAGGAAUAAGGGACGGCUAAAUACGUGCCAGCAGCCGCGGUAAUACGUAUGUCUCAAGCGUUACCCGGAAUCAUUGGGUGUAAAGGGUUUGUAGGUGGAUAAUUAAGUCAGGUAUGAAAGACCGGAGCUCAACUCCGUGUUUGUAUUUGAAACUGGUUGUCUAGAAUCAGGGAGAGGUAAGCGGAAUUCUAAGUGUAGGGGUGCAAUCCGUAGAUACUUAGAGGAACACCAAAAGCGAAGGCAGCUUACUGGAACUGUAUUGACACUGAUAAACGAAAGCGUGGGGAGCGAAAAGGAUUAGAUACCCUUGUAGUCCACGCCCUAAACGUUGAUAACUAAGUGUUGCGACUCGCUCGCAGUGCUGAAGCUAACGCGAUAAGUUAUCCACCUGAGGAGUACGGUCGCAAGAUUAAAACUCAAAGGAAUAGACGGGGACCCACACAAGCAGUGGAUCACGUGGUUUAAUUCGACAAUAAACGGGGAACCUUACCCAGACUUGACAUCUACCGAAUUUCCUAGAGAUAGGAGAGUGCCUUUAUUGGAGCGGUAAGACAGGUGCUGCAUGGUUGUCGUCAGCUCGUGCCUUGAGGUGUUCGGUUAAGUCCGUUAACGAGCGCAACCCAUGUCUUUAGUUGCCAUCUUUGAGUAGGGCACUCUAAGGGAACUGCCGGUGAUAAGCCGGAGGAAGGUGUGGAUGGCGUCAAGUCCUCAUGGCCCUUACGGGUUGGGCUACACACGUGCUACAAUGGUGGUGACAAUGGGAUAAUCCCCAAAAGCCAUCUCAGUUCGGAUUGGGGUCUGCAACUCGACCCCAUGAAGUCGGAAUCGCUAGUAAUCGCGUAACAGCAUGACGCGGUGAAUACGUUCCCGGGCCUUGUACACACCGCCCGUCACACCAUGGGAGUUGGGUCUACCCGAAGGUGGUGCGCUAACCCGCAAGGGAGGCAGCCAACCACGGUAGGCUCAGCGACUGGGGUGAAGUCGUAACAAGGUAACC